rnacentral:rRNA from 1 species
UACGAAGGGGGCUAGCGUUGUUCGGAAUUACUGGGCGUAAAGCGCACGUAGGCGGAUUGUUAAGUGAGGGGUGAAAUCCCAGGGCUCAACCCUGGAACUGCCUUUCAUACUGGCCAUCUAGAGUUCGAGAGAGGUGAGUGGAAUUCCGAGUGUAGAGGUGAAAUUCGUAGAUAUUCGGAGAACACCAGUGGCGAAGGCGGCUCACUGGACCGAUACUGACGCUGAGGUGCGAAAGCGUGGGGAGCAAACAGG